rnacentral:rRNA from 1 species
AACGCUAGCUACAGGCUUAACACAUGCAAGUCGAGGGGCAGCAUUGGAGUACCAAUACUUCAGAUGGCGACCGGCGCACGGGUGAGUAACACGUAUCCAACCUGCCGCUUACUCGGGGAUAGCCUUUCGAAAGAAAGAUUAAUACCCGAUGGUAUAAAGAGUUCGCAUGUUCUCUUUAUUAAAGAAUUUCGGUAAGCGAUGGGGAUGCGUUCCAUUAGAUAGUUGGCGGGGUAACGGCCCACCAAGUCUACGAUGGAUAGGGGUUCUGAGAGGAAGGUCCCCCACAUUGGAACUGAGACACGGUCCAAACUCCUACGGGAGGCAGCAGUGAGGAAUAUUGGUCAAUGGACGCGAGUCUGAACCAGCCAAGUAGCGUGAAGGAUGACUGCCCUAUGGGUUGUAAACUUCUUUUAUAAGGGAAUAAAGUGAGGGACGUGUCCCUUUUUGUAUGUACCUUAUGAAUAAGGAUCGGCUAACUCCGUGCCAGCAGCCGCGGUAAUACGGAGGAUCCAAGCGUUAUCCGGAUUUAUUGGGUUUAAAGGGAGCGUAGGUUGACAUAUAAGUCAGCUGUGAAAGUUUACGGCUCAACCGUGAAAUUGCAGUUGAUACUGUAUGUCUUGAGUGUAUAAGAGGUGGGCGGAAUUCGUGGUGUAGCGGUGAAAUGCUUAGAUAUCACGAAGAACUCCGAUUG